rnacentral:rRNA from 1 species
UACGUAGGGGGCAAGCGUUGUCCGGAAUCAUUGGGCGUAAAGAGCGUGUAGGCGGCCCGGUAAGUCCGCUGUGAAAGUCCAGGGCUCAACCCUGGGAUGCCGGUGGAUACUGUCGGGCUCGAGUCCGGAAGAGGAGUGUGGAAUUCCUGGUGUAGCGGUGAAAUGCGCGGAUAUCAGGAAGAACACCCGUGGCGAAGGCGGCUCUCUGGUACGUGACUGACGCUGAGACGCGAAAGCGUGGGGAGCAAACAGG